CAAACCCAACCCUCUGAGCCUGUGGUUUCCGCAAGUACUGGGGUUAGAGUCAUGAGGGAAGUGUGGGAAAAUGUGGAGUGUCAGUCAAGAGGCAACACUAGGAGGCAAGGAAUCUGCAUUUCUUUCAGACCUUGGCAGAGAGCGCCCUGGGAAAUGCGGAUAUAGAAGGUCAGGAGAACAUCUCUCCUGGUUAUACAGCAUUCCAGGACUCCUCAUCUGUUUUUAAGAGGGAAAUCUGAGUUUUCAAGGAAAGCCGAAUACAGUUGCCAAGUUGCCAGUCAAAGAAACAAUGUCAACACCUGCUCAUAGAGAUGGAAUUCCUAACCCGGAAUAUUGCCCUUGAAUUACAACGAGAAAAAGAACACUUCUUAUUCCUGUAGCACCUCUUCAAGUGAGAUGGCAGACCACCUCAGGAUGGAAAUGUAUUUCUUCAUCCCCCUCUCUACUUCCCUGUGACCUCCUGCAAAUAAGAUAUUCAUGGAUCCAAGCCUACCUAUGUGAAGUCUGGUUGUAGAGGUGAGGC
rnacentral:lncRNA from 1 species